UAACACAACAAGCAGAAACUGAGCGAUUCGGGUUUUAAAAGAUGUACAAACAUCAGCCAGGUGUAUGUGUGGAGGUUGCACACUGAAUUAACUGUGGUGUUUUCUGGCGCUGAGUCCAAACCUCAGUAUUAAGACACUUAAAUGUACCCUAAACUGCACCACGCACACAAUCUGAAACACUUUGUUCUCAUGUUUAAAUCGGCUGAGCAUUUUGUCUUUACAUUCAUCUUCACCUCUCGGGUGCUGAACGCUGACCACGACCACCAGAGCCCAACGCUUUGUCACGCCAACACCCGCUUUCUCUGUCUUUAAACAAAACGGCUGCAAUAGGCCUCAACUACAAAAACAUAUAGAGGUGUAGUGUGUGGGUAUACCCUCACCAAUUACCAGCAGGCCAGCAGCUCAGGGUGUUAUGACAGCAGUUUAGGAAGUACAGAGAAAGGGUGUGCUCAGCGAAAUGUGACCGACUCCAGUGCAGAGGUUUGUCUAAGAACAGCUCAAACUGGAAGGAUAUCUUUGGGAUUAGCAGCUUAUGUAACACCUGCACAGGCACACAUCUGGAAGUCAUUCAGUAUUGAGCAGCGAUUAUACCUUAAUUGAUUUUAUGGUCAAAUAAUUACAUAAACUGCAGAGCGCACCCAUUUUCCCCACUAAUUUCCAGGUAUAGAUGGUUAUAAAGAGCUUCUUUUGUUGAUAAGAUGUUGAAAAGUCAACAUUGAUUAAUCCAACUUACUUCCAGGUAUCUGGUGUCUCGCUAACACUUCAGCAGUGUGUGUGCUUUGGGAUUUAAAGAUUCUUAGUAAACUAGCAGGAUUUUCCCAAAUCUCGUGGUUAUUGUUUUAAUAUCCUGAGAUGAGCUCAGAGAAUUUCAGCCAAGACUUCUGAAUUUACAGGGUUGUUUAAUCUCAAUGGUCGAUUGUUUCAUGUAUAUCAGCCAAACUAGAAACUAGAUUUAGAAACAUAAACUGUGGCUAAUCUGGAAAACACUCCAUGUGUUUCCCCCAGAAAAAACAAUUUACUGCCCCAAAUUUGCAACUAAUGACACCAGUGGCUGUGGGAGGGGCUAUUCCUAGAAAUUUCCUAAUGUUUUACAGACGCAGACCUGAGAUUCAGUCUGACACAAUUUUCUUUUCACAGAAUUAAAAAAAAAUCAUUUGAUUCUCCAGUCUGUAGAAAUGUGGCAUGGUUGGAUAAAAGGCACUGAAAGCUGUUUAACGGCACUGACUACAGCAGGUGUUUUUAAAGCUUUGGCUCAGUGCAGAUAAAAUUCACCAGAAUACCAGUGAAAGCACAUAUGGUGGACAAUACAAGAGGACAAACAGACCGUCGGUGUGCGUGAUCGAAGAGAGGACCAAGUGCUGAUGGACGAAUGACUGAGGUUUGGGUUUUGGUGGUGGGAGGUCCGUGCACACAGGGCACUGUGUUAAAUAAAUAACCUCACAGAUCUUUAAACGGACUCUUCUAGACUUUACUGAGGACUUUACUGUGAAUAACCACUCGCACAGUGACUGUAUUUAUGCAGGAUGGCUGCAGGGCGAGAAGACACAUCAGCUGACUGGAGGAUACAAGUUUGACACCAUCACAGACAAAUCAGAGCCUGUUUUCAUAGAUGAACCUCAGCAGAGUGUGUAGUGUCAUUUGAUUUCUCACACACAUGACACCACACGAAUUCUUCCACAUGCUGUGUUCCUACUUCUCUGUUUGGUUUAGGUGAGGAUGCUGGAUGAAUAAAGCAUCCAAAAGACACCAUGAGGACCAUGGGGGUAGGUUCUGUUUGGGGACCCAGAAACCAGCAGAAACACUUCCUGCCUAUUUAAUUUAAUAUUUAAUUUAACAACUUCUACCUUACCUGCAUUGAUUUAUGGAGGAGAAAUUGGUAAAAUAACGCAGUAAGAGCUCUUAAGUAUUCUGUGUCGCUUAACCAUAAUUGUUCUCCACAUUGUUCAUUCAAUGCACUCAUUUUACUGAGUGUGACUAAGAACAAGAAGCUCAGGCAGUAUAACUGUGCUAACAUCCUUCAUAUUACAUUUACAGUUUGAGGGUAAAUGGCAGUUUUAUGGGAUGUCUGUGUUCUACAUUCUUGACUCUGUUUUUAAGUUAAAGUCAAACAGUUAAAUCAUAAACUGACAACAUUAUGACCUUCCCUGUAUCCAAAGCAUUUGUUUGUGUGUGAAUAUAAAGCUUUGAAUCUACUGUACUGUUUGCACACAAG